CCUACGGGAGGCAGCAGUAGGGAAUAUUGGGCAAUGGAGGCAACUCUGACCCAGCCAUGCCGCGUGCAGGAUGAAGGCGUUAUGCGUUGUAAACUGCUUUUAUAUAGGAAGAAAGAGUUCUUGCGAGAACAGUUGACGGUACUAUAUGAAUAAGCACCGGCUAACUCCGUGCCAGCAGCCGCGGUAAUACGGAGGGUGCAAGCGUUGUCCGGAUUUAUUGGGUUUAAAGGGUGCGUAGGCGGUUUAUUAAGUCAGUGGUGAAAGACGGUCGCUCAACGAUUGCAGUGCCAUUGAUACUGGUAGACUUGAGUGAGAUUGAGGUAGCUGGAAUGGAUAGUGUAGCGGUGAAAUGCAUAGAUAUUAUCCAGAACACCAAUUGCGUAGGCAAGUUACUAAGUCUCAACUGACGCUGAGGCACGAAAGUGUGGGUAUCAAACAGGAUUAGAUACCCUGGUAGUCCACACUGUAAACGAUGAUAACUAACUGUUGGCUUUUGGAUACGUAGGUUACGAGAGAAAGUAACGUUAAGUUUAAAGUUCUACCUACGGGUAGGGUAACGCCCGGCCGAACGGUACGGUAACGUUAAAACGGUAAUUAAAGACGGAAUUGGAACGGACCUUGGACCGAAAGGCGACCCGAAGGACGGGGACUUAGGGAGGGGAGAG
rnacentral:rRNA from 1 species